GCCUUCGUGGUGUAGUGGUCAGCACGCUCGACGCGUAUUCGAGAGGUCCAUGGUUCAAGUCCCCGCUAGGGCA
rfam:Stegodyphus mimosarum contig27736, whole genome shotgun sequence.